rnacentral:rRNA from 1 species
UACGUAGGUGGCAAGCGUUGUCCGGAGUUAUUGGGCGUAAAGCGCGCGCAGGCGGUGCGGUAAGUCUCUGGUGAAAGCGCUCGGCUUAACUGGGCGAGGGCCGGGGAGACUGCCACGCUGGAGGGGAGCAGAGGCGAGUGGAAUUCCGGGUGUAGUGGUGAAAUGCGUAGAGAUCCGGAGGAACACCAGUGGCGAAGGCGGCUCGCUGGGCUCUACCUGACGCUGAGGCACGAAAGCGUGGGUAGCAAACAGG